rfam:Erinaceus europaeus unplaced genomic scaffold scaffold00401, whole genome shotgun sequence
AGCACCUGUGCUUGUUUUUGUUUAAUUAGUGGACAAAGCCUUUAUUAGACAAGUGCAAAGACUAACUCCUCUUUUGCAACCCAGAACACACUAUUCAGUAUGAGUUCUGAUACCUAGAAGGAACAUA